rnacentral:rRNA from 1 species
UACGUAGGGACCAAGCGUUGUUCGGAUUUACUGGGCGUAAAGGGCUCGUAGGCGGUUUGUCACGUCGGGAGUGAAAACUCAGGGCUUAACCCUGAGCCUGCUUCCGAUACGGGCAGACUAGAGGUAUGCAGGGGAGAACGGAAUUCCUGGUGUAGCGGUGAAAUGCGCAGAUAUCAGGAGGAACACCGGUGGCGAAGGCGGUUCUCUGGGCAUUACCUGACGCUGAGGAGCGAAAGUGUGGGGAGCGAACAGG